AUAUUCUGUUGGCAGUAACAAUGAAAUUGCUGAUAAGAAUUGAUCUGUUCUUAUCAGUUUAAUAUACGAUACGUCUCCUAUCCGAGGACCAUAUAUUAAAUUGAUUUUUGGAACUGGGAGAUGGAAUCGGGGCUUUCUCCGUCCACUCCACGCAUCGACCUGGUAUUGCAGUAUCUCCAGGAACGGUGCACCCCCA